GACGAACGCUGGCGGCGUGCCUAAUACGUGCAAGUCGAGCGAAGUGGAGGAAGCUUGCUUCCAAAGCUAGCGGCGAACGGGUGAGUAACACGUGGGCAACCUGCCUGACAGACUGGGAUAACUUGGGGAAACUCAAGCUAAUACCGGAUAGGAUCGCGAACCGCAUGGAACGCGAUGGAAAGUCUGAACGACACUGUCAGAUGGGCCCGCGGCGCAUUAGCUAGUUGGUGGGGUAACGGCCUACCAAGGCGACGAUGCGUAGCCGACCUGAGAGGGUGACCGGCCACACUGGGACUGAGACACGGCCCAGACUCCUACGGGAGGCAGCAGUAGGGAAUCAUCCACAAUGGGCGAAAGCCUGAUGGAGCAACGCCGCGUGAGUGAUGAAGGUUUUCGGAUCGUAAAACUCUGUUGUUAGGGAAGAACACCCGGGAGAGGAUCCCGGAUUGACGGUACCUAACGAGAAAGCCCCGGCUAACUACGUGCCAGCCGCCGCGGUAAUAC
rnacentral:rRNA from 1 species